GGGUUGUGAGGUUAAGCGAAUAAGCGUACACGGUGGAUGCCUAGGCAAUCAGAGGCGAUGAAGGACGUGCUAAUCUGCGAAAAGCGUCGGUAAGGUGAUAUGAACCGUUAUACCCGACGAUAUCCGAAUGGGGAAACCCAGUAUCCAAUGGAUACUAUCAUUAACUGAAUCCAUAGGUUAGUGAGGCGAACCGGGAGAACUGAAACAUCUCAGUACCCCGAGGAAAAGAAAUCAACCGAGAUUCCCCUAGUAGCGGCGAGCGAACGGGGAGCAGCCCAGAGUCUUAAUCAAUAACAGUGUCAGGAGAACGGUCUGGAAAGUCCGGCAGUAAAGGGUGAUAGCCCCGUAUCUGAAGAUGCUGUU
rnacentral:rRNA from 1 species